rnacentral:rRNA from 1 species
UACGUAGGGUGCAAGCGUUGUCCGGAAUUACUGGGCGUAAAGCGCGCGUAGGCGGAUCGCUAAGUCAGGGGUGAAAUCCCAGGGCUCAACCCUGGAACUGCCUUUGAUACUGACGAUCUGGAGAUCGGGAGAGGUUGGUGGAAUUCCGAGUGUAGAGGUGAAAUUCGUAGAUAUUCGGAGGAACACCAGAAGCGAAGGCGGCCAACUGGCCCGAUACUGACGCUGAGGCGCGAAAGCGUGGGGAGCGAACAGG